GGUAGAAUUGCUGGGUCACAUCAUGACUAUAUGUUUUAAGGAACAAAAACUAUUUUCCAAAAUAGCUGAGCCAUUUGAAAUUCCCAUUAGCAAC
rnacentral:pre_miRNA from 1 species